GUAAGUAUAAAGAAGGUCAAGCAAUCCAAUCCAAAAAUGAUAAUUAUCAAAGAUUCCACCUAGAAUGUAUAUCUCAUGUCUUCUUAAUUUAAUCUAGUGAGAGAACCCAAUACAUGUUUCUUCUAUAUGUCAAUAAUCACAUAUAGGUGCAACCCUCGAAGAGUACUCUACUCUAAUAAUAUAGAACUCUUUUUAUGCC
rnacentral:lncRNA from 1 species